CCUACGGGCGGCAGCAGUGAGGAAUAUUGGUCAAUGGACGAGAGUCUGAACCAGCCAAGUAGCGUGAAGGAUGACUGCCCUAUGGGUUGUAAACUUCUUUUAUAUGGGAAUAAAACGUUCCACGUGUGGGAUUUUGUAUGUACCUUAUGCAUAAGAAUCGGCUAACUCCGUGCCAGCAGCCGCGGUAAUACGGAGGAUCCGAGCGUUAUGCGGAUUUAUUGGGUUUAACGGGAGCGGAGGUGGAUUGUUAAGUCAGGUGUGAAAGUUUGCGGCUCAACCGUAAAAUUGAAGUUGAAACUGGCAGUCUUGAGUCCAGUAGAGGUGGGCGGAAUUCGUGGUGUAGCGGUGAAAUGCUUAGAUAUCACGAAGAACUCCGAUUGCGAAGGCAGUUCACUGGACUGCAACUGACACUGAGGCUCGAAAGUGUGGGGAUCAAACAGGAUUAGAUACCCGAGUAGUC
rnacentral:rRNA from 1 species